rnacentral:rRNA from 1 species
AUACGUGGGGGGCGAGCGUUGUCCGGAAUGAUUGGGCGUAAAGGGCGCGUAGGCGGCCCGGUAAGUCUGGAGUGAAAGUCCUGUUUUUAAGAUGGGAAUUGCUUUGGAUACUGUCGGGCUUGAGUGCAGGAGAGGUAAGUGGAAUUCCCAGUGUAGCGGUGAAAUGCGUAGAGAUUGGGAGGAACACCAGUGGCGAAGGCGACUUACUGGACUGUAACUGACGCUGAGGCGCGAAAGUGUGGGGAGCAAACAGGAUUAGAUACCCUGGUAGUCCACACUGUAAACGAUGAAUGCUAGGUGUAGGGGGUAUCGACCCCUUCUGUGCCGCAGUCAACACAAUAAGCAUUCCGCCUGGGGAGUACGGCCGCAAGGUUGAAACUCAAAUGAAUUGGCGGGG